UGCGGAGGGUGCGAGCGUUGUCCGGAAUCACUGGGCGUAAAGGGCGCGUAGGUGGCGCGGGAAGUCAACGGUGAAAGUUCGGGGCUCAACCCUGAAUCGGCCGUCGAUACUCCCGGGCUCGAGCACUGUAGAGGCAGAUGGAAUUCCGGGUGUAGCGGUGGAAUGCGUAGAGAUCCGGAAGAACACCGGUGGCGAAGGCGGUCUGCUGGGCAGUUGCUGACACUGAGGCGCGACAGCGUGGGGAGCAAACAGG
rnacentral:rRNA from 1 species